rnacentral:rRNA from 1 species
UCAGGACGAACGCUGGCGGCGUGCCUAAUACAUGCAAGUCGAACGGUCUUUCUAUGGAAGCUUGCUUCCACUGAAAAGAUAGUGGCGAACGGGUGAGUAACACGUGGGUAACCUGCCCAUAAGAGGGGGGAUAACAUCCGGAAACGGGUGCUAAUACCGCAUAGUUUUCUUGAUCGCAUGAUCGGGAAAGAAAAGACGGCCUUUGUGCUGUCGCUUAUGGAUGGACCCGCGGCGUAUUAGUUAGUUGGUGAGGUAACGGCUCACCAAGACGAUGAUACGUAGCCGACCUGAGAGGGUGAUCGGCCACAUUGGGACUGAGACACGGCCCAAACUCCUACGGGAGGCAGCAGUAGGGAAUCUUCCGCAAUGGACGAAAGUCUGACGGAGCAACGCCGCGUGAGUGAAAGAAGGUUUUCGGAUCGUAAAACUCUGUUGUCAGAGAAGAACAAGUUGGAGAGUAACUGCUCCAGCCUUGACGGUAUCUGACCAGAAAGCCACGGCUAACUACGUGCCAGCCGCCGC